CCUAACACAUGCAAGUCGAACGGUAACAGGAAGAAGCUUGCUUCUUUGCUGACGAGUGGCGGACGGGUGAGUAAUGUCUGGGAAACUGCCUGAUGGAGGGGGAUAACUACUGGAAACGGUAGCUAAUACCGCAUAACGUCGCAAGACCAAAGAGGGGGACCUUCGGGCCUCUUGCCAUCGGAUGUGCCCAGAUGGGAUUAGCUAGUAGGUGGGGUAACGGCUCACCUAGGCGACGAUCCCUAGCUGGUCUGAGAGGAUGACCAGCCACACUGGAACUGAGACACGGUCCAGACUCCUACGGG
rnacentral:rRNA from 1 species